rnacentral:misc_RNA from 1 species
GAGAGCAACUACCAUAAUUUGAAUUCUUGAUGACUUGACUUUUAUUCAAGACAUCCUGUAAUGCAGUUGGGGAUGGUGUGACACAGAAAUGUGUAACAUAGAAAGUUGUGUUUGUGCUAAUAAAGAUUGAUGCAAAUUGCUCAACAUAGAAGCAUGUGGAAUUUGAAAAUGCUUGGUAGGUUAACCCUUGGGUCUGUAAACAUUUCAAAUCUUAUGUUCAAACAUAGGUUGCAUAUAAAUUUUGGUGGAUUUUAUUUUUAAGGAUGUAGUAAUUACUACUAGCUAAAGAACUUUGGGUGUGAACAUGUGUCCAGAUUGGAGCCAGGCCAGGCAGUGCCAACUGUCUCAUCCAAAGGAAAUAGCAACUCAAUUUUUUUUAAUUAUUUACUUAACAUUUUAUUUUCUUGGUUGAUUUAUCCAUUUUCUUAAAAAAAGGAUUUUUCUAUCCAAGUGCUGAUAUCUUAUUUUAUUAGCUUUGAUGUUUCUUUCUACAUUGUUGUGCUUUUCCAGCUACUUUGACAGUGGCUUAUGGUUGCAGGUUUUGAAUUGCCAUGAUUCU